GCAUCGUCGGCUGGCCCUGGUUCCCGCGGCGAUCCCGCGGGCGAAGAGGGAAGCCGGUGCAAGUCCGGCGCUGCCCCCGCAACUGUGAGCGGCGAGCCAUCUGCCAUGCCACUGGCCCCCACGGGCCGGGAAGGGGCAGCCGGCGUCCGAGCCGCGAGCCAGGAGACCUGCCGGGCCUUGACGACCAUCC
rnacentral:ncRNA from 22 species